CAGGCUCGGCUGAAGACCGGCUCUUGUCGGCCGGUGCAGCCGAUGGUCAGCUGGUGGCCGGCCGCUCCGCCGCCCUGGGUCAGAUCCCGGAGUCCGCCAGACUGGAGACGGAGCCACCGGGGGAGACAGUGCGCUUCUCGAGCGAAGCGGCACCUCGUCUCGUGCACACUCUCUACGACCGGAAGGUCAAGGUUGGCGAACGCCUCGCGCUUUCUGUCAAAGCAUCGGACCCGCAGGCUGUGACCUCGGUCCAGUGGUACAACAAGGGCCGACUGGUGGA